CUGAGAUACGGCCCAGACUCCUACGGGAGGCAGCAGUGGGGAAUAUUGCACAAUGGGCGCAAGCCUGAUGCAGCGACGCCGCUUGAGGGAUGACGGCCUUCGGGUUGUAAACCUCUUUCAAUAGGGACGAAGCGUAAGUGACGGUACCUAUAGAAGAAGCACCGGCCAACUACGUGCCAGCAGCCGCGGUAAUACGUAGGGUGCGAGCGUUGUCCGGAAUUACUGGGCGUAAAGAGCUCGUAGGUGGUUUGUCGCGUUGUUCGUGAAAACUCACAGCUUAACUGUGGGCGUGCGGGCGAUACGGGCAGACUGGAGUACUGCAGGGGAGACUGGAAUUCCUGGUGUAGCGGUGGAAUGCGCAGAUAUCAGGAGGAACACCGGUGGCGAAGGCGGGUCUCUGGGCAGUAACUGACGCUGAGGAGCGAAAGCGUGGGGAGCGAACAGGAUUAGAUACCCUGGUAGUCCACGCCGUAAACGGUGGGUACUAGGUGUGGGUUUCCUUCCUUGGGAUCCGUGCCGUAGCUAACGCAUUAAGUACCCCGCCUGGGGAGUACGGCCGCAAGGCUAAAACUCAAAGGAAUUGACGGGGGCCCGCACAAGCGGCGGAGCAUGUGGAUUAAUUCGAUGCAACGCGAAGAACCUUACCUGGGUUUGACAUGCACAGGACGCCGGCAGAGAUGUCGGUUCCCUUGUGGCCUGUGUGCAGGUGGUGCAUGGCUGUCGUCAGCUCGUGUCGUGAGAUGUUGGGUUAAGUCCCGCAACGAGCGCAACCCUUGUCUCAUGUUGCCAGCACGUUAUGGUGGGGACUCGUGAGAGACUGCCGGGGUCAACUCGGAGGAAGGUGGGGAUGACGUCAAGUCAUCAUGCCCCUUAUGUCCAGGGCUUCACACAUGCUACAAUGGCCGGUACAAAGGGCUGCGAUGCCGUGAGGUGGAGCGAAUCCUUUAAAGCCGGUCUCAGUUCGGAUCGGGGUCUGCAACUCGACCCCGUGAAGUCGGAGUCGCUAGUAAUCGCAGAUCAGCAACGCUGCGGUGAAUACGUUCCCGGGCCUUGUACACACCGCCCGUCACGUCAUGAAAGUCGGUAACACCCGAAGCCGGUGGCCUAACCCCUUGUGGGAGGGAGCCGUCGAAGUGGAUCGCCAUUCCCA
rnacentral:rRNA from 1 species